CGGGGGACCUGUUUCUGACUGCGAGUCCACGCUUUCGCACCCCUCGUUUGUCCUAAUCUAUGGGACCAUCAGGUGCGGCAUUUGCUACAGCUGAACCUCCAACAAGGGAACUCCUCACCGAAGGCCUCGAUUGCGCAAUUCAGCUGGCGGACCCCUCAUGCCGGCGUUCCAAUUUUGAGUUUACUUAACUGCCCCCGGGCGUGUUCGCCACCUCGUACACCAAAUUAAGCUACGUUGCGCUUCUUGGAAUGGAUGAGAACUGUAGGUCGCUUGAAUCGUCUCUACGAAACCACGGAAGCCCUUGCGACUCUGUCCACGACGUACCGACAGCAGUCGAGCACAACACUUUACAACCCAAUUCAGGGCGUUGCUCGCGUUGGGAAUAGGAAACAACGGUCGCUAAGCCAGCCCUUGAGUUUCCUCUGACGGCCACUAUUUGGCCUCCUUCCACCCCUACUGCAGUUCAGUAGUACCGGGAAUGCUCAUCCCGAUGUGUGCACGAUGUUACCGCGUAUGUUUCUCUUCGCUGGAGCGCUCUCGUUCGCCUGGAGUGUUUCACGCAGCAUCAGGCCUAGCCUCAGACGUUGAGCUGAGGCACUUCAGCCUUAGCGAUCAUUAGCACCUAGUCUUACGGUGCCACUUAUGCAAGGGCCCGGAACAUGUGUGGCGGGCAGUGUGGUACCCUCACCCAACGUUUUCUUCAUCCAUCGAAUUGGAAGUCCUCCCGCGAAUG
rnacentral:rRNA from 1 species